rfam:Nasonia vitripennis chromosome 2, whole genome shotgun sequence.
GUAGAUGUUAGCCCAGUGGUUAGAGCACAGGCCUCUGGCUCUCGGGUCCGCGAGUUCGAGUCCCGUCGUCUACU